rnacentral:rRNA from 1 species
GGACGCAGCCUGAUCCAGCCAUGCCGCGUGAGCGAUGAAGGCCUUCGGGUUGUAAAGCGCUUUUGGCAGGAAAGAAACGGCAUGGGUUAAUACCCCGUGAAAAUGACGGUACCUGAAGAAUAAGCACCGGCUAACUACGUGCCAGCAGCCGCGGUAAUACGUAGGGUGCAAGCGUUAAUCGGAAUUACUGGGCGUAAAGCGUGCGCAGGCGGUUCGGUAAGAAAGAUGUGAAAUCCCCGGGCUUAACCUUGGAACUGCAUUUUUGACUACCGGGCUGGAGUUUGGCAGAGGGA